UGGAUCCGCCACGCUAGGCGGACACGGGGCUUUCGUUUCCGUCCACGGCACAGCCGCGCUUCAGAGGGCCCUCGCCUCGCGUGGCAUUAUACGCCGUGCGCGCAGUCAGACGAACAAAACAAACAAAUAAACAAAUAAAUAAAGGGACGGUGUGCAUGCAUCUUUAUGGAAAUUCCGCAAUUCACCGACCUUUUCCACAUGGGGGGGGGGGGGAGUGCAUUGUACGAAAAAAUGUGCCAAAGAUUUCGAUUGUCUCGUAUUAUCUAGACUGAGCAAGAAACAUCUUCAGACCCUGCGAACCGAGAUUACUUUCGGCACGACGUCCGAAACUUCUCGUGUGUGUCUGCUGUAAGUGGCCAAUAAAUAAAGCUGAUGGAUCACUCAGGGAGUCUUUGAAGGCCUUGCGGGCUCAAAGGAGCCGACCAGAAGGAGCCAUAACUCUCCACCGGUCCCCGUUCUCCUCUGCCCUUGCCCGGUGGCAUGAAGAGAUCAUUUCCUCAAAAGAGAGAGAUGCAGAUAUGAUCCAAAUAUUAUUGUGUGUGUAAAGGCAGGCAAAAAUAAACACAAAAGACAAAUGAAAAGGUACAGAAAAACAGGGAGAGAGAGAGAGAGAGAGAGUGAGAGAGAGAGAAUAGAGGUAGUCCCAGAGGAGUGUUCUGGGUCUGACUGACAGCACUUCUCUGGGUAACCUCCCCGGGGGUUGGCAGGGAUCCAGGACUGUCUGUAGCUGUGGCCUGCUGGCUUGGCGGGCAGCCAGCACAAUGCACUGGACGUGCCUUACCCUCAGUCACUUCCUCCAGGCUCUGCCCCAAACCCCCCCACUGCCAGGUCCUGAUAGCCAGCCUUUGUCAAUGUCUUUAGGAGAGCGCAGGCUUAGGGAGAGGAGGGGGGGAUACCAACGCCACCCAAAACCAUGCCCUUACCCACUGGAACAACAGGAACUGUCUAAUAUCUACAGAUCACUGUUGUGGUCAUACUUUAAUUCUGUAAGUAUGAAGUGCCUCUAUGUGUCCAAGUACAUUAUGCUUAGUCUAAAACUACGUUUCAACCAUCUCACCAGUUUGGAGAUAUUUCCUGUUCCUGCCUUUGAUGAUGAAGCCAGCCACAGCAAAAGAUUUCAUUUAAAUAAACAAUUGCACACGAUUUAGAACUCAUCAUUUUGUGCCUUAUUUUUGUGUAUGUAGCUCUUGUAUUGAAAACUUGUAGUGAAACAAAUAGCAACUAUGGUUGAGAUAAAAGGAGAAAACAUCUCACAAUCACAGCGAAUGUAUCUUCACCUGAUGUAAUAUCUUGGCAAUAGCAUUUUCUACAAUAGCAAAGAUGUCUGUGACAAAAUGAUCUCUAGGGGAACUAGACGUAGGGUCGGCAAAGCUACCUUAAAGCAGGUGUGUGCAUGUGCAUUUGUUUAUAUGUGUGUCCGUGUGUGGGGAAGAGGUGGCAGCAAGGUUAACCAGACUGUGUUCCUUGGCCCUGUCCAAUUAUCAGCAGGCAAUAAGUUUAGCCCUGGUGCUGGGCUGCUCUGCAGCAGUAACACUGAAUAGGCACGUGGAUAAGGAUGCCAUAGCCACAGACCUGUUUCAAAGCAGCAGUGUUGAGAGUCAGGGUCUCUGACAGGUGGGGCAGUUUUACACUUGUUACGACCGAUAUGUUCGCAAACUUCUGGCAUGGACGAACGGUAGCCUCCAUGUUUGGACGUUCUAAAUAGGUAUGCAAUUCUUCAUGCCAUGGACUCUCUGGAACACUCUGGAAUUCAUGACAUGCAAAAUCAAAUAAGGACCAAAAAGACCACCGACACGCAGUGGGUGUUUUUCUGCUUGCUAACUUAACCAUAUGAACCAUUAAAGAGAAUUUUUUUCAACAUUAA